rnacentral:rRNA from 1 species
AGCAGCCGCGGUAAUUCCAGCUCCAAUAGCGUAUAUUAAAGUUGUUGCAGUUAAAAAGCUCGUAGUUGAAUUUCGGGGUCAGUAGAUUGGUCGUGCCACUGGUAUGCACUGGUCUUACUGGCUCCUCCUUCCUGAUGAACCGUAAUGCCAUUAAUUUGGUGUUGCGGGGAGACUGGACUGUUUACUUUAGAAAAAAUUAGAGUAGUUUAAAGUAGGCUAACGCUUGAAUACAUUAGCAUGGAAUAAUGAAAUAGGACGUUCGACCUUAUUUUGUUGGUUUCUUAAGAUUGACGUAAUGAUUAAUAGGGAUAGUUGGGGGCAUUAGUAUUCAAUUGUCAGAGGUGAAAUUCUUGGAUUUAUUGAAGACUAACUACUGCGAAAGCAUUUGCCAAGGAUGUUUUCAUUAAUCAAGAACGAAAGUUAGGGGAUCGAAGACGAUCAGAUACCGUCGUAGUCUUAACCAUAAACUAUGCCGACUAGGGAUCGGAUGAUGUAAUUUUUAAUGACUCAUUCGGCGCCU